rnacentral:rRNA from 1 species
UGUAAGCUCUUUCGUCGGGGAAGAAAUGACUGUACCCGAAUAAGAAGGUCCGGCUAACUUCGUGCCAGCAGCCGCGGUAAUACGAAGGGACCUAGCGUAGUUCGGAAUUACUGGGCUUAAAGAGUUCGUAGGUGGUUAAAAAAGUUGGUGGUGAAAUCCCAGAGCUUAACUCUGGAACUGCCAUCAAAACUUUUUAGCUAGAGUAUGAUAGAGGAAAGCAGAAUUUCUAGUGUAGAGGUGAAAUUCGUAGAUAUUAGAAAGAAUACCAAUUGCGAAGGCAGCUUUCUGGAUCAUUACUGACGCUGAGGAACGAAAGCAUGGGUAGCGAAGAGGAUUAGAUACCCUCGUAGUCCAUGCCGUAAACGAUGUGUGUUAGACGUUGGAAAUUUAUUUUCAGUGUCGCAGCGAAAGCAUUAAACACACCGCCUGGGGAGUACGACCGCAAGGUUAAAACUCAAAUGAAUUGACGGGGACCCGCACAAGUAGUGGAGCAUGUGGUUUAAUUCGAAGAUACGCGCAGAACCUUACCAACACUUGACAUGUUCGUCGCGACUCUAAGAGAUUAGAGUUUUCGGUUCGGCCGGACGAAACACAGGUGCUGCAUGGCUGUCGUCAGCUCGUGUCGUGAGAUGUUGGGUUAAGUCCCGCAACGAGCGCAACCCUCACUUUUAGUUGCCAUCAUUUAGUUGGGCACUCUGAAAGAACUGCCAGUGAUAAGCUGGAGGAAGGUGGGGAUGACGUCAAGUCCUCAUGGCCCUUACGUGUUGGGCUACACACGUGCUACAAUGGCAUUUACAAUAGGAAGCAAGAUGGCGACAUCAAGCAAAUCCUAAAAAGAUGCCUCAGUUCGGAUUGUACUCUGCAACUCGAGUACAUGAAGCUGGAAUUACUAGUAAUCGCGGAUCAGCGCGCCGCGGUGAAUACGUUCCCGGGUCUUGUACACACCGCCCGUCACACCAUGGGAGUUGGUUCUACCUUAAGGCAAGGUUUAAAACCCUUGACUACGGUAUAGUCAGCGACUGGGGUGAAGUCGUAACAAGGUAGCCGUAGGGGAACCUGCGGCUG